UGUGGGGCACAGAACAAGAAAAGGCAUUUGUAAAAAUAAAACAGGCUUUAGCCUCUCCCCACAGCCUGGGUUUACCCGAUAUGGGAAAGCCGCUCCACCUUUACUGCAGCCAUAGUGAAACUCAAUACUCAGCUGUAUUGACAGGGAGAUAAGCAGCGUCCAGUAGCAUGCCUAUCUACCUUAAGAUCCCCUGUAUCCCAGGGACUACCCGAGUGCAGAGUGCGUAGUAGCUCUAGAUUGCACUAUGUGAGCAGUAAAAGCUUGUAAAUCAUACACUCUCAGGGGGAAAUUAGUGUUACAUAUACCCCAUACACUUAUUGAUCUCCUUAAUACCAGGCGGCUAAGAUCUGUAACAGAUUCCUGCAGGAGUCAGUGGGAAUCAACAUUGUGCUUGCAAAACCCCAACUUCUCUAUAGUAAGGGACAAAGGAAUAAAUGUAGCUGAAUGUCUGAACAUAGAGGGAGAGGUACACGCAUGUCUUAUAGAUAGGGAAGAGGAAGUGUUGGGGAGAGUUUAAGAAGAGCCAUUAAAGAAUUCAGAUACAAUUCUGUCUGUAGAUGGAUCAAGAAAGUAUGAAAAUGGAGUGCCACACACUGGAUGGGCCAUGGUACUCAGUGAUGGGACAAUGAUAGCGUCAGGUCAGAUGGAAGGAUCAAAAUCAGCACAAGAAGCGGAGCUAACAGCCCUCACUGAAGCUUUGAGAGUGGGGGAAGGCAAGAAGCUCACUUCAGCUCACACAGCAGAUAUGCAUUCGGAGUAGUACAUGACUACAUGGACGUGUGGUCACGCAGGGGUUUUAUAACAACAACUGGCAAGCCAAUUAAUAAUAUGGAGGCAGUUCAAAGACUAACAAGCUGCCAAACUACCAUCAGAACUGGCAGUAGUAAAGAUAAAAGCACAUACUAAAAUCUCAAGCGAGGAACAAAACGGAAAUUACUAGGCACAUAAAUGGGCCAAAGAAAUUGCACAAGCAAGUCCUAUUAAGGUUUGUGUAGCUGUAGUGCCCGAAGAGGAAGUAAAUUUAAAAAAACUAUAUGCAACCAUAAGCCCAGAAGAAAAAUGUAAAUUGGAAGAACAAGGCUGUGUGUAUAAGAAUCACCUCUGGUAUGGGCCGAGGAGGAGGAGCUGGAGCCCCGGAGUGCAUAGGGGCUCUGCUGCUCCAUGCCAUCCCGUCUCCAGCUCAUCUGGGGUGGAGACCAAUGAAAGCCCCCCUGAAACACUGGUGGUGGCCCUCUAUGAAAAAAGAUGCUUUACUAUUUUGAAUCAGCAUCUGUCAAUACUAGCGAUGUUUCCACAAGUGUCUCCACAGGUAAACAAGAGAAGGUGGAGGAGGAAGGACUGAAGGGUGACCAGGACAACCAGAGCGACCAUGGGGAGGCUCCUGCUGUGGCUCCUGCUGUCCCUGUGGUGCAUGAGGAAGGACGCAAGUAGUGUGCCAUGUGCAGGGUGACACCCUUAGACGAUGCUGUGGCUGUCUUCGAGGGACAGUGUCUGUACUUAAUGCAACCAGUGUCCGGAUUAUCUUUAAAGGGGGACAGCUACGUACUACGAGUGAAGGGGACUACAAGGUCCUGGGUUACCCCUCAUUUGAACACAACUACAAGGCAUAUUGCCAUGAUGGCUUGGGAGGAAACACACAGACCUCGAUACUGGAAUUUGUGUGGGAUUUUGUGGGAAAGAAACCAAACACUCAUGGAAGAUCAUGUACCAGUUAUACUGACAUGGUACCUGUGGAGGUUGGGCCUGUUAAUUCAGGAUGGGGCUUACAACUUAAAGCACAGACGGAGGUAUCCCCAAAGGCAUGGCAUAAAUUUGUUAAACAAUGGCCCAAAUUAGAAUGCCCACGGCUGGUAACAAUUAAUCAAGUUAUCAGAGACAGAGUGGAACCACUUGACUGUGUGUCAUGCCCUGAACAAAUCCCUGUUCCAGAAUCAGGAUUGGUAAUGAUAGGACCAGCACUACCGUUCUUCACCUCGGUGGUUUCCACACUUACAGGGUAGAGGUGCGUAUUCCAUUAGAGGAAGUGAACAGGCAGUGUGCAAAGGUCAGGCCUCGAAUGAGUAGAAAUAUUACUAGCCUAACAAACCAAAUUGGUGAGCGCUUAACCAGAUAGAAGAGGGGAUUACUAGAUACCCUUGCAGGAUGGUUUGGUGCAGGUAAUUCUGUUGGCAACACCUAUACCAUAGCACGCCAAGCUGAGAGGAGGGACCGACUUGAAUCAAGGCUGGCAGACGCUGUAAUCUCUAAUGCCUGGGGAGGAUUGGAUACUAAUAGGGCCAGCCAAUUGAUCCUAGACAGCUUGAAGGAUCUGUCAACCUCUGUAUCCACCUCAUUAAAUAUAACAAAAUACCUGAAUCAAGGAGUCACCAGCCUGCUAAUAAAUGGUAUUAAAAUAAAGUCACUGGAGGAGAGUUGUUGGAGAGCAGGACAAACUUUGGCCAUCACCACACAGGGAAUUGUAACCGAUCUCCUUGAUGGCCGGGUCCACCCAGCCCUUAUGGAAGUAGUGGAACCCUAUCUUCCCAGUACCCCUCCAUGGGCAUGGGGAAACAGAGAAUCAAUAAGAGUCCAAAGACCAGUUUGGACAGGUCACAGUAUACUCUUUUAACCUUUUGGUACCUCUGGGCAUCCCUCAUUUACAGCGAGCCAGGAUGGUGACCUCCCUGCAAGUAUGGAGGAGGGGUCAUGCUAUUAAGAUAGAAGGCGUUGCAUACUCUGAGGUCACUGGGAGAGCACUGGAUCCUAGUGAAUGUUGCCCCCACUCUGAUAAGGAAAUUCUGUGUACAUGCCCAUAUAAUAUUCUACUGAAUCUGUCUAGGUUCGAAGUGGCCAUCACUGAGAAACUGGCGCACACGGAGCUGGUCCAGAUGAACGGUACCUACUGGCGUGUGACUGCCCAGAACCACUCCAUCGAGCUAAAUGGAAAGCCCUGCCCCUCGAGGCAUCCAUCCGUGUGCAUGAUGGUUUCCCAAAGGGCAACCCUGACUGUUGAUGGGACGCGGCUCCACCGUACUCCGCCAAUGAUGGGUAACCUAACAUGGGAUCCAGAAUGGCACUACAGAAAUACGUAUCUGUUGGACAAUCAAAGGAGCUACUUCAUUCCUAUGGACCCCAAAUUGAAUCCAACAUAUAUUCUAUAUUAAUACAUUUAUUAAAGUACUAAUUAAAUGCUAAAUGUUAAUUUAGACCAUUGAGACCAUGGGCGGAGACAUUAUGUAACCUUUUGACCAUUGGCUACUGUGCUAUCAUGUCUUGCAGCUAAACCUAUCUGGGGGUGUGGGACUGCCUACCUCGUCACUUUCCCCGCCCAUAGAAAAUCCAUAUAUUCCAUUGUAAUCAAUUGAUUGACAGUGUCCCUGAGCCGAAUAAGCAAGGUGAUACUCCGUCAGCGCUGUACGUAAUAAACUCCUAUGCUUGACCUCUA